AGUUCAGUCCAGCAGGAUGUGUAAAUGGUAAAUGGACUGCAUUUAUAUAGCACUUUUAUCCAAAGCGCUUUACAAUUGAUGCCUCUCAUUCGCCAGAGCAGUUAGGGGUUAGGUGUCUUGCUCAAGGACACUUCGACACGCCCAGGGCGGGGUUUGAACCGGCAACCCUCCGACUGCCAGACAAUCGUUCUUACCUCCUGAGCUAUGUCGCCCCUGUGUUUCCAAUGUGCAACUUUCUGUGGGUAAAUGCAACUGAUAGGGAGAAUGCAGAAUGAUCACUGCAGUGUACUUAUUUCCUUUCAUUAAUGUAAACAAUGAUGGACUCAGUUUCCUUAUUAAUUCUGUUAGGAUUGUUUUUUUGUUUUGUUUUUUUUUUUUGCUUUAAUUUUCUGUAUUUUCAGACAAUAAUAUGCAAUGAUUAAACCUGAAUUAUAAAAAUAUCAAA